UCCUCCCUCGGUCUAACGUUGACAUCGCGUUCGCUUCCUCUCUCAGUCUCUCCCUUAUCUCUCGCUAUUCGUCCCCGAGGAUCUCGCGUUACCGUUAAAAGUUCGGUUCGUUAGCCGGUAUUGUUUUCCCGCGGCGGGAAUCGCUCCUGUGGGAUACGUUCGCCCGAGCCUUCUCGUCGGGCAUCCUAACCUCUCCUUUACAUCCUCGAUUCUAUCUGACUUCCACCCACGUCUCUCCUACAGUGACUUCCACCUUCCAAUCUUUUAUACCGCUGCACUCUUUCUCUCCGAAUCCUUCCACCUCCUAUAACCUCGACGCAGUCGGUAUCCCGUGCUGUUCCUCAGAAUUUCUAUUGACAUCGGCAGUGACAUCGUUGUCAGAUUUAUUUGAACGCCUCGGACAGGAAAGUGGAUCCUUCCCGGUAGUGAUCGUCGUGUCCUGGAAACAAAUUCGAGAACCCGUGUAUCCACCACAAUGCUUCCGUGUCUCGUAGUGAGUGGUCGAGUGGAUCUAGAAGAAUUCCCGUGCUGGCCAAGUGAUGAUAACCAAGAAAAAAAGAGACGUUGACGUGGAGCCACGUCACGGCGCUUCCCUGAACUAUUAAACAGACGUAUUCAUGAGCAUUGUGAAGCCUCGGUAUGUCGGAAGGGAACCCCUUUAAGAUAAUUUCAUUAAAGUACGUCUUAGCUGGAACACACUGUACGUCAUAUGACUGAUAAACGUGCAGCUGACUAAUGAAUUAUCCAGUAUGGACCAUCGAUUUUCUGUCUCGAUAAUAUUCGAGAUACGAGUCCUUGACGAAGGACAGAUAAUACAGUUGAAUCUACAAAAGAGAAAGCUGUCGUUGCAUUGUAUCUUACGAAAUAGUACUGGGCCUUCGGUACUUUUCAGCUAAGGAUCCUCUCGUGCUCCACAUGAAAGCAUACUGAAUACGUGUAGCAAUAGAUGGGCUAAACAGACGAGGAACUGACGAGAAGGGUCCUCGUGAAUGAGAUCGAAGGUUGGAUGCUGUACGUGGACCACUGUAUAGGAAGUGGAAGGAGUGUAUAAGAGCGACUGUGAGAUAGUUAAGAAAAGGGAUGGAAUGAAGGAAAAGGAGAUGAGAUCACGAUCCGUGCCAAAGCAAAGGUCGAGCCGUACAGCAAGCAUGACUGCACGAUAUAGCGUAUAGUCUGGAACGGCAACGUUAUUAGGAGUAGGAAGCGCCUCUGUGACAAAUGGCGCGGCUUCAUUGUUGCGCCAGAACCCCCAGGUCCGAAGCCCCGUCGUAAAUCUGCGAGUGACCGACAGAAGUCCGACAGGCCCAGGGUGUAAGGUACGACCAGCGGUGGAGGACUUGUGGAAGAGGGAUGUCGAAGAAAAGGGGAUGAUGUUGCUGUUGCCUGGAUCAGUGCUGGGAAAUAGAACUGUAGAAUGCGUUCGAGCUGCAGAUACAUGCCUACGUCACGAGCGCCAUCCACGAUAAAAGGCCCAGUUUGCGAGAGAUGGAAAAUCUCAAGAUUUAUACCGAUCAGAAUGUUUUGCCAGGAGCGUCAACACCAACGUGGAGGAAUCUCUUGGCGUUAAGCUCUAGGAAAGGAUACGUUUAAUAUCUGCUGCCGUUUUAUAUCGUGGAUGGAACUUACAGAAUUCGCCGCCAGAUGGAAGCCUAUCUCGCGCGUGAAAAUUCUUCGAGCCAGAUAGAAUGGCGAGGACGGUGUGCACCUUGCAGGAGAUUGCGCCGGUUUUAAAUCGGACCCGGUGAGCGGGCUCCGGUUCGGCUGGUUAUACGAUAUCAUAAAAGGAAUCACGUGAGAGCGAACGGAACGGACGGAAGGACGGACUGCCGCACGGACUUACGGACGGACCGAUCAGGUUUGGGCAGCUGUCUGCAACCACGUCACUCAAGUUCACUGUUGGGUUCGCAGUGGAAUGAAUGCCUUUCAUUAUGAACGUUAUCUUCUGCCUGAUCGCCAACCCUUUCUCUUCUUGGUAAGGAUGUAUGCGCACUCGAGACACGAAUAUUAUCGUCCAACGACCACGCUCCUACCUGGACUACGAGGAUUUAUUGUACCGGCAUCGUCAAGAAAAAGAAAUACCUCUCUGCCAUACCGACCGAGGGACAAUGAAAGUCGAACUUACGGGACCGUUACUUUGUUUCCUGAACUUCGUAGCGUCUCGAGUGGCAUUACGAAGGUGAGAAGUAAAAGGUCCAUAUGACAUAUAAUAGCACGCCAAAAAAAAAGAAGAACUAACAGCUAAGAGAAGUCAAUCGAGUGUAACUCUUGAUUAAAAUAGACGAGAGAAGGACAGGCGAAUAGCAGGGGAAAAAAGCUGUCAGAUUGAAUUACGAAAGAUAUGUCACUAAAAGUUCUGUCUAAUUAUCCAGAGUCAUUUAUCCAUCGAGCGAUCGGUGUGACGUCACAUAAUCAGUAAACGAACAAAGAAACGUCCAGUUUCCUACAAUCAAUUCCGUCUCCCAUUUCCUGAAACGGAUCCCGAUCGCACAUGGAUACGGGGAACAGGAGGAGUAAAAGCUUGCGACAAACGGCAUCGCUGCCAUUCCGGUGUCGCCCCGACACCGUGCAGGGCGGACAUUUUGACGUGGGCUUCCUAAUGAUUAAAACUGCAGAAAAAGGAAGCGCUAAAAUAACCGCUGAAUGCUGAUGCGCUACUUGAUCGACGUAAACUGCCAGAACGUCUAGCGUCCCGACGCUGUCCUCAGCGUCCUCCUACGUUACUUGCUCGGCACAUUAUGUACCCAGCAAUCGGGUAUUCAGCGUCCAUUGUUCGGUCCGGCAUUAUGGACAUACGGCUUCUAAUAUACAGACAGCGGUACGCGUGUCUAUCUUCUCCACAUAUGUUAGCACGUGUGUACGUAUACACGUAGAUGACAGCCAGAGCAGUAGAAUUGAAAUUGCGAUGGAGUUUGGGGAAUAUGGAGAAUCCACCAGAAACGGUACACACCACGUGGUCGUAUUUAUUCGUAUCUAGGGAUGACAAGGGGUUGAUGCUCUUGCACUGAAUCCCCCCAGUAGAUAUCUUUCGCGUUCUCAUUAUAACCGCGUUCGGUACCGGCGAUCGUGGCGCCGCCCCUCGGCCGCUGUCGUAAACUCAAUUGGUUUCGUUGACGUUUCUUCGUCGCACUGGCUGUGGUCACGCAAUUGACUUUGAAUCAUCUGUCCACGUGUAACAUUGAACGCAAUUACAGUCAAUUUAACGCGUGUGGCCGUGCCUUCGAAUUGGAAUUGUACUCUAUACAUACUAGACAUAGGGUAUUGGCGCGUGUCGAUCGAUGCGCCACCAACGGUCACUCUGGCAAUUACUGUCCCACGUCCCAAGAGAUCGGCUGUCGUGAAGUCUCAAUUUUCAAACUGGCAUGCUCGCGUGAGAAAUCCAAAAAAAAGUACUAGGACAACAUGGCGUAAAAUUGUUGGACAAUCAAUACUACACGUUUAUUAUUAUCAAGUUGUGCAGCCUGCACGUAGCGGCCUUUGCCAUAACACAACUUUCCAAGAGCCGACCCCGUACCAGUCGACGAGGACGACGCUGGGCGUCGACUGCUACCUACCGACGCCGACGUCCCUCGUCGCGACUACUUCACGCCGUUACUAAUACCGACGCACUAUAUAGGUAUAGCGACCUACGUUUUACACGCACACGAUAUUCCAUCCCUUUACACGUACAGCGUCGCGACGCCGUACCGUCUCAUCUUACCGGACUGUAACUGUGUUCGCUUAGUUCGACUUUACGAACUUUGGCUUAUGAGAAUUAACGUUUAGUGUUUACCUAACCGCAGCCCCACGUGCAUCGGCCUUAUGGCAGACAACGUACGGCGGACGGUUCGUUCGCUGUGGCCUUUUUCUUGGCUGUGUAGGGAUUUCCCUUCUUUUUUUUUAUCCUCCUUUUUUGUCUUAUUUAUCAGAACAAUGCUUGCGGGUCGUAUCGAACAUUCUAGAAAGACUUUCUUCAAUGUCCGAAGAUACGGAGGAUUGUUCCAAGAGGCUGCUAAUAAAUUUUUCCUGUUUUUAGUUUCAAUCUUGUUCCUCGGCUAACGAGGAAAUAUUUAUCGUCGUGACGAAACGAUACUGAAGAGAUACGAGCAUUUUUUGAGGUUAGGACCAGCGUUAACGGAUGAACGUUACUUUGACGUUUUAUAGCCACGUUAAAAUUAUAUACGUACCUACGGGAGCCAUUGUAAAAAAAAAAAAGAGAAAAAAAAAAUUUGGCAGAAAAUCAAAAAUGUAUUUUUCUCUUGCCAAUUUGAAAAAAAAAAAUAUUUAUCAAUCCGCAAAAUAGUCACGAGGCUAUUUACAGUGAGAAUAAAAAUUAACCAACGAAUAAUAAAGUUCUCAACAUAUGUCAUCCUCCCGUUCGGUCGAUCGUAUACAGAUAUACGUCGUGCGUGCGAUUUACAAAAAUGGCAAAUCCAUCGCGAAUAAACGUCAAUGACUAUCGAUGAUCCACGUCUUUCCCUGGCCGGUGGUCUCGUCCAAUAAAUGCGCGGUUUUCGGGUAGGCGAAGACGCCGGAUCCGGCUUUCCAAUAAAUAACAAGAUAAUCUCCAGAGAAAUCAAACGAGUUAUGCCCACCAUAAAGGUUGACCCACACGCAGAGACGCAGAAAGGCAGCCCAAGGUAUACAGUUGGGUAAAGCUAUGUAGGCAUUCCGUACAGGAUGAUAUACCGAUGAUUAUCGAGCAUUCCUGAUUUCCGUGUAGAAGCAUAGAAAGACAGGACCAAGAAGUCGCUCACGCAGAUCUUCCAUACCGAUUCCGAGUCGACCCCGUCCGCCUUUGCUUCCAUACGAAAAAUGUUGGACCUCGAUCAUACGUAAAAAAAACUUGUACUCGACGAACCUUGAAGAAAAAAAAAAAUAUAUCAGCCUCCCUAAAAUUCGUUAUUCAAUGCGAGAUCGUCGUCAUCGCUUUGUCGCAAGAUUGAUUUUCAUCGAUCGUAUAAAACGCCAGCGACGAAGAUCAUUCUGGUCCGAUGCAUCGGAUGUGUCGGGUUACCUGUCCUCGGCUGGAUCUUAAAAUCCACUACGGUACCCCGUACCCAUACGGGAUCUAGUCCCUAUAGUCGAUGACCCGAAAGAAGACAUCGCUGACGGUAUACACGUAAAUUGAGUAUACAGGGUCUGGAAGGCGCGAGAGUUCCCGGACGUGACGUCAUACCAGUGACGUCAAGAAGAGCAACGCACGUAGACGCGACCUUGCGCAAAAGUGACGAACCCACCCGCCGACGUGGCGCAACGCACAGCCGGUCUGAAGUCGGCCGACGCUUGGGAUACCGGCGUCGGAAGGUCUAUUUAUAGACGACGCCGGCAAAAACACGAGCGACGACGACCACGACGCCGGCGUCCUGGCCGGACGCGGGUGCGAAGUUAAGUGGCCUGAUCUGGUUCGCUAGUACGCGUGUACGUUAUAAGCGAAAACGACGCUCGGCGUCGCGUCCUACGAAGAAAGGCUACUGGCGACGCCGAGCGUCCCGACGCUGGGCAUACGACUAAUAAGAUGGGACAGUAUCGCGAGAUAAAACAAUUUUUUUCAAAAUUCGACCGCGAGACCGUCUAAAAUUUACUGUCGAUCAGGCGUCGUCGGCGUCCUGGGCGUCUGUCCGAAGGGACGUCGGAUCCGGUUCAACCGUUCGUAGUGAAAUAAUUUUUAAGAAAAAUUUCAAGAUAUCGGAUUAAAAAAAUAGUGCACUCAUUAAUUGAUUCUACACAGUGUUGAUAAUAUAAUAAAUUGUGAGAUCAAGAUACAAUAGUUAUAUGUAUAUAUUGGCAUCGAUCGGUACCGGGUGUUAAAAAAGUAAUAUGUGGAAAUUGAGAGCAAAGUGCUGGUAAUUAUUAGUGCGCGACUCGUAGGUAAAUAAUGAUAUAGGCAUAUGGAGAGUGGAUGAAGGUAGGAAGAGUGGGGAGAAUGAGGGGAAGGGAGGGGUGGAUCGGGUAAAAAUUGCGUUUCAUGCCAAACGUCGAUAAAGCGAUGGUUAAGUCCUGGUCGACUGCAGAGACGGAGGAUUGGUUUUCGCAAUGUAUGAUUAUACGACGUCCCGUGGGAGCGCGAGCGUCCCGGCGCCCGAACCAAGGUAGGAUACGAAGCGCUGGUUUAUUAGCCAUUGUUUUAUCUUCGCGCUCAAUUAGCGACUAUCAUUGGGUAAUAUAACGUGACGCGCUGCUGCUAUACAGCGAAAGGUGGAAGCAUCGACGGUGGAGGAGAUCAGCGGAAGAAAAAUAAAGCAGAAAAUAAUACGGGAGGAUCGACGGAAGGGUAGGACAAAAAGAAAACAAAGAAGGAAGGAAAGGAAAUGACGUAGAGCAAUGAGGCUUUACCGGCGCGAGGGACGAGCGUGCCUUUUAUUGGCUUUUCAGAACGUGCGAGUAAUUCGACGGGACAAUUGCGUGAUAAUUUUUGUCCUCCGUCCGCUUGGAAAGUGGAAUAAUCAAGCUGUGUGUUUUUUCGCGAGUGACACUUGGGAUAGUUUUAAUUUUUUAAUUUGAAUUUUUUUUCUAAUUCACUAAAACCCCAUGCGGGUUUUUCGACAUUUUCGUUAUUCCCGAUUACGUCAUCGGAUCCGAUCGGUGAAUCAGUGAAUACUUACAGAAUGACUCGGACGUCACUGACGAUCAGUGACAACGAGUUAGGAAUGAUUAAGAGUUUCUAAGUAAAUUCGAAAAAAAAAAAAUUUUUUUUCUUAUAUAAAAAACUUGGUAUCUAUCGCUACAGAUAGCUGAAUGAUACGGUUAAUCCUAUAGAUAAAAUCGUCAUUCAUACGUCAAGUGUCAAAUGACUUGGAUAUUAUCAACGAGAGUCAUCUAUAUACACAGGGAGAUAUAUAAAUCAUAUCUAUUCUUUGAAGAAACCUAUUCUCAUCCGGAUGAAGAGGUAUCCUUCUGUGUACGAAGCGUUAGAAGAGGAUGAGAGGUCAGUGGCAUCGUGGGCGUCGCGACGCUCACGUCCACGCGAGGUCGGUACGUACACGCCGGCCGAGUAGGCGUAAUGCGUCGAUAUGAUUGUUAGCUAUCAAAAACGAAACGGACACGCGGUGUAUACGAGAAAAGGUGAGGCCGAUGAAAAAUGAGAGAAGACCAGUGACAGACGUGAAUAAAGAUGGCGUACUGAGAUAUAACGAAAGUGAGUCGACGAUAAUGUGUAUAUAUACACGUGGACGUACGAGUGAAUUUGUGUAAAUUAAAUAUAUGCAUAGCUCAUAGGUCAAAGGGUAAAAAGAGUGAGAAGUUUUAAAACGUUACGUGAGUAGUAUAGAACGAAGAAAGAGUGACUGGUUAGCGCCGAACAUCCAAGGUGGUCAGUCAGCUCGAUGUCAGCUUGCUAAUUGGCAGCCAUGUCGCAUAGAGGCGCUCGUGUAGUGCGAGCCGGUUUUUCAGUGUUGGCCGGACUGCCUGUCUGACUGGCCUGCUUGCUUACUGUUCGUCGCGUAAUUCGUAAGCGGUUCGUCGGGCAUUCUCUUCGAAGGGUGGCAGGAGAGAAGGAUGUUAGAGGUUCGUCGUUUUCCUUUAUGCGUUAUGCGUAAUGCGUGGGCGAGUGAGCGCUGACGAGCAAGUAUGUACCUCUGCGCAUACCUACGAGCCGGCCGGAUCGCGUAGGACAGCACGCUGGGUGGUCCCUUCCUUUGCUUUUUCUCGAGUUCGCCUUCUUAUAUAGAAUACAAGAACGACGCAUUGGCACGUGACCCUUACGAUUAUCCGGAGUACCAUAUGUGCACGUGUGAGAACGGUAAAAGUAUUUCGAUGAAACAGUAUCUCAAUGUUGUGCGUCCAUAUGUUCCUGGCAGUUAUUAGUGAACGGUGAUUGGUUCGUCGCAGCCCACGUGACUCGGGAUCUUUGCUCUGAUUGGCUAAGGACUCGAGAGGAUAAAGAAGUCGCUCGGACUGUGUUGAUGUGACAAUGUAUUUGACUCUUGUUGCUAUUAAGAGAAAAAGGAUCGGACAGCUGACGUGAGUACAUAGAUUGUAUGAUGGAACGAGGCUUUCCUCGGCGAUGAAUUCACGGUUAUGUUAUGGCAGUCAGAUUUGUUACGUUAGCAAGAGAAACGGUCAGGUAGCGCUUAUGGUGGCACCCCCCUGCGGUGGGUCACGUUUUAUUAACAGCCCCUGUCCGUCUGUCCGUUCAUGGUCUCUGUCUGUCAGUCGGCAAGGUGGAUGACACCGGGUAGGUAGUGGUGGCGGCUAUCUGCACCACGGCUGACACCUGACGGAUAGCCUGGCGGCGGCAACACGGGAUAUUAAUUUGGUAAUUUAUGGGGGCCGAUUAGGCAGCGCUAUCUGUCGGGCUAAUGCGCGAGCCGUUGGCAGGUCAUCACCGAGUUCUCGCCGUUUCCCAAUCCUAGACCCUCUUGACGAUCCCGAGACCAAGAAGAAGGUGGCUGACAGUGAACUGUCCCAGUCCAACAGACAAGAAAAUUAUUUUCUCAUUUAUCCCGGACACGAACCACUUAGCAACGGUGGAAUUUUUAAAUGUUAAAUUUGACCAAGUCCGCUUAACCCAGAGUUAUGCCUUGCAAUAAGACUCAUGCAUAAUGGUAAAUCGAAGAAAACAUGAGUACAAUGCAGGGUCUCUAUCCUGGCCCGAUCGACCUACCUAACCAGGUUAUUUGUGACGUAUGAUAGAUGGGUGCACAAUGGCCGAGCACAUGCGUAGCCACGUGUAGGUUACGCGUAGGUGGAUGAGGAUGAAUGGCUCUCGUCAAACGGAAGGGACCUCCUGCUGGUUCGCACCAUAAUACUCGUCUCCGUAGUAAGUUAGCUUAUUGAUGACCUCACGGCUACUUACCUACAACAGAACAAGUAACGUCCUAUGCUCUGACUCCUUGGGUUACAUCGUGGCUUCCAGUUCCAGUCAACGGCGGAUCGUCGGACCCGUUAACUGCCCCUAGCGGCCCAAUUGCUGAACGAUAACACGUUGCACGCGUUAUCCGGCACGCAGUUCUCUUAAAACCUAUGUUAUUAAACAUCAUUCCUGGUGGAGCUCUUCAAAUAAACAGCGUUGGGCUGGCUAGGGUCGUCGCGCCACCAUAAAUUCACGGAUACGCAGGUACGCUAAUGAGACUGAAAACGGAUCGAUCUGCACAAUUGUAAAUAAUAUUGGAGAACCGAUAAAUCACCGAUUCAAGAGCUUUAACGAAGGACACAGAAAAACGGAAAGCGAAUAUACGUCGCUGCUGUCGGUUAUUUUGUAUCCAGAUAAUGAUUUGACUGAAAAGCCCGAAAUUUUGAUCAGGGCUCAGGACAGAGAAAGAGAGAAAAGAACGAGCGGACGUAUCUUCGAUGAAGUGGCGCCACGAACAAUGCCCGGCCACAAAUCAAAGGGAUUAUGUUACUAUUUCACGCAUAGGCGUAGAACUGACAUAAUAAAUCAGACUGCUGUUGGCCCACAAUAAACAAUAACGUUUGAACGGCUGGCUGGAUGGAUGCUGGCUGGAUGUCUGACUAACACGGUGUUUCUUCACUUAACAGAGAUGUCUCGGUGGCACUUGUUCCUCGUAACAAUAUUCUCCUUUCUUUACUUUUCCUUUUUUUCUCAUUCUCUUUCAAUUGAUCUCGCAUAACAGCCUCUCGUAAUCGAGCCGAGAGCCCCACUGGUAUCUCGACAGAUUGGAUCGGAUCGAUUGUUAACGAUCUGAUCGUAUAGGUUAGUAUAGCUCGCCGAUCUAUAAAACUGUUUAUCGCAAACACUGGGAGAUCGCAUCGGGCCAGCGAGCUUAGACCUACCGACUAAUUAUAGUCUCCUAUUUAUUUUAUUUACGCGCGUAUAGCGCUGCACCGGUCAUAAAUCAAAAUUCCAUUUCAACGUUCUAACGAAGGAUCAAAUAAAACACUUUAAUUGACGUUUUUACGGCGCCCGGCAGCCGAAGCCGAACUCCCUGCCUGGCUGACCCUCUACUUCUCUCUACGUAUGGAGGAGCCAGGGCAUAUAUCCAUUGGUACUUUUACUUUUGCCUUUGCUUCCACUUCGUCUUUCUUCCUUUUCUCUUCUUUCGCUCAACCUAUAGUCUCUCUCUCCCUCUCGCUCUUUCUCCCUGCCUAUACUUGCUCCUCCACUACCAUACCCCAGACUCACUGCCAUCCUCCGCGUGUCCGCGUAUCGCUUUUAUGAGAGUCUAGAUAUUAUUUCUUUUAUCCGUCUCCUUAUGCGAAACGUCAUCCUGAAACUUUCCACCGUUACGACUUUCACGUAGACUCGAGAUACCCCUGUAGAUCCUCCAGGAGGACUAAGGGACGAUAUCCGUUUCGUGGGUCUGGCCUUUUCAAUUAGUCCCGUAAUAGUAUACGCAUCUAUAACCAUAGGUGGUAAGCAAGGUACCAGGUAACGACUUUCAGUGCAUACCCCGUAUUAUACGUAAGAAUAGAUCCAGCCUUCUCGGAAGCCACGAGGAAUGAUCCGAUGAAUUUACGUGCUUCGGGUUCCCGUGAAUAUCGUAUCGACGGACUCACAUAAUCCGAACGUCGAUCGGUAAAAAAUACCGGUGAUUAUGCGCCCGGGAGAUGAGCGCGGCAUUGUUAAGGUGGAUCGCGUACGCGGCCAUUAUCGUAAUUUCAUGGUUUUUCGGGAGAUCCGGCGUAAACAUAGAGCGAAGCCACUUUAAUACUCGGUCCGAGAGGGCUCGAUCGAUAAUAAUAACGGAAUAUGCAGGUUGUCCCGACGCCAUACCGGUAUUAUAGUAAUUUCGUUUGGUCGGACUCCGCCAUGAGGCAUCUUAGGACCAAGAAUCCGCGUCCGAUCGCGCAAGCUCCGUCUUCGUCCUGCCAACCGACGAGGUCGCGGAACGCCCAGCUGGUACCACGAAAAAAUUCCCCAGACAGUUGGCAAUUUGGUAGCAGACCUGCUCCAUCCAAAAGGGACGAGGGACGCCGUUGGACCAGGGGGGGAAGGACAAAUAAAUAAGUAAAUAAAAGCAACAUGGAAUCCCUCUUGGCACCUUUAUUCCGAAGACCUCAUCCCGUAUCAGCCAGCUGGUCAUCACGUCGUCACCGUCAGACGAUCCCAUUGUCGUCAUUUUUGGGUUAUGGCUCUCUCCCGAGUAUGGGUUGGGUUAGGUUGAUUAGGUCUCAAGUUUUAUGAGUGGCGGCGCCAAGCGGCCACGUUUGAGGUCUAUCAAGAUCAGUAAGAAGGUGAAGUGAGCUCGGUACGAAGCUAAGGUGGGUAGAUCCACCUCGGAGACCUUCCUCCUACCUUAAGGAUAAUGAUGCCUCCUACCAACCAUCUUCCCGGACCCACUGCCUGUGGCUGGUCUUGGUACCACCCUUCAGAAAAAUACGUAUAAACACACAGUGCAUCAAUUUCCGGCACUCCGGCCAUCCCUUAGCCUCUUCUUCGUCCGGGUAUCUCCUAACCUUCUUCUUCAAUUUCGACAGUCCCUAACCCAAAGGCCCCAAAGCGUAGCCAAUAUUUUUUUUUCUUCUUCGUCUCUCUCUCUCUCUCUUCACCUUCUUUCUCUGCCCAGCCAGGAUUCUCGUUGUUUUGCGGUUUACGACGGUUCGCGUUACAACUGAUUAUUAACCCCCUCCAUUAUUAUAUGCGGCCAUAUACGGCCAUUAUGCCAGACCGAUACAACACAAUCCCCCGUAAUGCCGGCCAUAAAAUUAAAUUAGGGUUAUAACACGAUUUUUCACAAAGGUUCCGAGCUCGGCAGCCGAGCUACACGCUUUACUCUUUGGACUUUCGACUUUGGCUGUCUCUGUUCUCUCUCUCUCUCUCUCUCUCUCUCUCUCUCUCUCUCUCUCUCUCUCUCUCUCUCUCUCCUUUCGUUACUCUCGUAUCCCUCCAUAUUUUUUCUCUCUCCCACCCCUUGCUUCCUUGACUGUCUACACCUGCCCCAAGAUACCCUGUACCCUGAUGUACCCUGAAGGUACAUAUGUAUACUGAAUAACUUAACCUCACUUUUCUACUGAAUACCAAAACUACCUAUCUGUAUCAACUGUCAAUCAACGAAAAAAUAUACAUAUAUAUGAAAAAUAUCUUCGAUAUCGACAGAUGUCAAUUCCAAAGGAAUAAUAAUGAUAAUAGAAUCGAUAUAUGCGCUAUAACGUCUAUAAUUAUAUAUUACGUAUUAUUCAACGGACAUCCCACCAGUUAUUCCACUUUUAAUCGAUCCGACAUAGUAAAACGUCGAUGUCGAAAAUGUCAAGGGAAACUGCCUGACCAAACUGACUACAGUGCCAUCUACUCCGACGUCGAGCAGGUGGAUCCUCGUGACAAAUGGAGCCGGGACACCCGGUCGCGGGACAGAUAACUGACGCGGUGUAAUGAGCUGAUUGAUUGGCGGUGUCCGGAAGCGUCAUCGUUACACGGCCCUGACAUGUAGUCGGCCGUAGCUACGCCGACGCGUCCGUCAACGACGCGUACACUCGCGUCACUGUCAAUCAGAUACGUCGCCCGCCACCUACCUCCAACGGCUAAAACACCGGACAACCUCGGGCACGAGCUAUCGGUCGUCCCUCCGUAUACCCGUAUAUAUGCAGGAACUCCAUCAUUGUCGAGCGCUCUGCCAUCUGGUGACGAGUGUCCGCAACAGACAGCAUAUCAAAAUGCAUUCUCAACUCUUAACGCUGAUUCCACGUCCAAGCCUGUAUAAAUAUA